rnacentral:rRNA from 1 species
GACGAACGCUGGCGGCGUGCUUAACACAUGCAAGUCGAACGGUGAAGCACCUUCCUUUUGGUGGGUGUGGAUGAGUGGCGAACGGGUGAGUAACACGUGAGUAACCUGCCCCCUUCUUCUGGAUAACCGCAUGAAAGUGUGGCUAAUACGGGAUAUUCUGGGUCUGUCGCAUGGCGGGCCUGGGAAAGAUAUUGUUUCGGUGGGGGAUGGGCUCGCGGUCUAUCAGCUUGUUGGUGGGGUGAUGGCCUACCAAGGCGGUGACGGGUAGCCGGCCUGAGAGGGUGGACGGUCACACUGGGACUGAGACACGGCCCAGACUCCUACGGGAGGCAGCAGGGGGGAAUAUUGCACAAUGGGCGCAAGCCUGAUGCAGCGACGCCGCGUGAGGGAUGGAGGCCUUCGGGUUGUAAACCUCUUUCGCCAGUGAAGCAGGCCUGUCCCUUGUGUGGGUGGGUUGACGGUAGCUGGAGAAGAAGCGCCGGCUAACUACGUG